rfam:Takifugu rubripes WGS project CAAB00000000 data, contig_1938
UAGAGUGCUCCGCCAUGAGAACUGAAUUCCAUAGAUGGUGACAUUUGUAUGCUUCAUCUAUGGGCUCAGUUCUUUUGGCUCGGUACUGUCCA